rnacentral:rRNA from 1 species
UAUCACUAAGCGGAGGAAAAGAAACUAACCAGGAUUCCCUUAKUAACGGCGAGUGAAGAGGGAAUAGCCCAGCACCGAAGCCUGCGGCAGUUUUGCUGUUAGGCAAUGUGGUGUUUGGGUCGGCUCGUGGGAUUGCCACUCCACUCGAAGUCCAGCAUUGAGUAUGGUCACUGGAUUUGGCCCAGAGAGGGUGAAAGGCCCGUACGGGUGGAGGUAUCAGACAAGUAAGGCAGUUCACCAGGCCGGCCUUAGAGUCGGGUUGUUUGAGAAUGCAGCCCAAAGUGGGUGGUAAACUCCAUCCAAGGCUAAAUACAAGCACGAGUCCGAUAGCGAACAAGUACCGUGAGGGAAAGUUGAAAAGUACUUUGAAGAGAGAGUAAACAGUACGUGAAACCGCAUGCAGGUAAACGGGUGGCGUCAAGCUGCAAGCCCAGAGGAUUCAGCUGGCUAGGGUGUUGUGUAUGCGCCUGGCGCAUCUAUCAGUCAGAUUAAGAUUGGAUGGCCCAUUGGGAGACAGUGGACCUGGCCGCAAGGUUGGGGUAUGUGUACCGGGUGGAAGCCGGAGCAUGCUAUCUAUCUGUUGGACUGUCUAGCCAGUGCACUUUCUCUGUGGUGAACACCACGACCGGUGGAAUUGCCAGUCUGCUGUGGCCAAGUCGCGUUGAGUGGGCUCUUGUAGCCUACUGGAUGCGAUCACGGGCAAACUCAGUGAACGGCGUGGAGGUGCUUCGGCAUCGCUACGUGCUAUCGGCUACUGGUUGUCAACGGGCUGUCUGAUGAUUGUUGUAACCGUCAUUGGAUGGUCUGGUGGGCUAUGGUGGUAAGAAUAACUGUGCAAGGCACCGGAGUUGUCGACCUCAAAUGUGCUCUGUAUACACGUUACAAGUGGAGUGGAGUGGUGUCGCGGCCUGCCUGUUGUUGAGUCUGAUUGUCGUGUCGCCUGCGCAAAGUGGGCCCGACAGUGGCUUGAUGCGGGAUGGGUGGUGUAUGCUGCUUCCUGUGCAGGGUGCGGUGGGUUGAAUAGUCGGUGGUGUAGUGGUAGACGAGCUACCCGACCCGUCUUGAAACACGGACCAAGGAGUUUAACAUGUAUGCGAGUCAUGGGGUCUUACGAAACCUACAGGCGCAGUGAAAGUAAAGCUUCGACUUGUUCUCGGAGUGAGGUGAGAUCCUGCCGUUACUCGCAUCAGCCUAUGUCAGCAUCAGGCUAAGAGCGGUGGGCGCAUCACCGGCCCGUCCCAUGAUGUGGCCAUUGGAUUGCUGUGGUCGUUGCUUGCACGGCUGUGGUGCCAGUGC